UGGCUCUCCACCUGUUGGCGGUGCUGUUUAGGGAGGUUUAGGAGGCCACGGUGGAGGAGGCGUGGCCCUAGGGAGUAGAUGUUGACUCAUGGCACUUAGAGUUCACUAUGUUUCACACGGUGAUCUCUAGGAUUGCUGUGCUAGCAGCCAUGUCUGCUACCGUGUCUUCACCAACGUAGACUGCUUCCGUCUGGAGCUGGAGACCCAGAAGAUGGAAGCUGAAGAAUGUUGAGGACAACGCAAUCAAAAGCAUCCUGGGUCUCCGACGUUACGUAGCACAUGCUGCUGUGUUAGACCAGCCAUCAUGGAGCUUCCCCUUGGAAAGCCAGACAGUGUUUUCAGUCUUUGACCUAAUUAUAUGACUGAAGGAAACUCACAGUCUUGGUUCUGAAUAUACUGUGUAGGAAUCGGGCACCGGGCUGUGAGAAAUCAUUUCAUAAAUGUGCAUGAGGAAAGUUUGUAACUGGAUAAAUGAAGUGAACAAGUUCAUUUGAAAUAAAACAACUCAUCGGAUUGUGUAGGA